rnacentral:rRNA from 1 species
UACAGAGGGUGCGAGCGUUAAUCGGAAUUACUGGGCGUAAAGCGUGCGUCGACGGUUGUCUAAGUCGGAUGUGAAAUCCCCGGGCUCAACCUGGGAAUUGCAUUCGAGACUGAACAGCUAGGGUGCGGAAGAGGGAAGCGGAAUUUCCGGUGUAGCAGUGAAAUGCGUAGAUAUCGGAAGGAACAUCAGUGGCGAAAGCGGCUUCCUGGUCCAGCACCGACGUUCAGGCACGAAAGCGUGGGGAGCAAACAGG